ensembl:antisense 1500015A07Rik RIKEN cDNA 1500015A07 gene
UUAAUAUUCAGCUCUGUAAGUUCCUGUGCCGUCUACUUUUAUGUCAACUGAACACAAGCUUCUGAGAGGAGGAGUCAACUGAGAAAAUGCCUCUAUAAGAUCAGGCUGCAGACCGAGGGCCGGACCCCCGGCCAGGGACUGCUGCAAGCGCUCCUUCACAGCUACCAGCUUGAGCUCCAGGUCGAUCCUCUGCUCUUCCUUGGCACGGCAUUGAGCUUCCAGAGUGGCCACGGCCUCUUCCAAGGCCUUCGACUUUGCUCCUGAGUCCAGAGACACGGAUGAGAAAGUCUGCGGGGCUAAAGGCCCCCCCCCCCCCCCCCCCCCCCGCCCCUUGCUGGAGUGUCCAGAAGGACUGGGUGAAGGCUUGUACUGCAGCCACUAUGUCACCACAAAGAGAAAGAGAAUAAAGUCACAUUUCUCUGUA